rnacentral:rRNA from 1 species
CCUACGGGCGGCAGCAGUGAGGAAUAUUGGUCAAUGGGCGCGAGCCUGAACCAGCCAAGUAGCGUGAAGGAUGAAUGCCCUACGGGUUGUAAACUUCUUUUAUAAAGGAAUAAAGUGAGGCACGUGUGCCUUUUUGUAUGUACUUUAUGAAUAAGGAUCGGCUAACUCCGUGCCAGCAGCGGCGGUAAUACGGAGGAUCCGAGCGUUAUCCGGAUUUAUUGGGUUUAAAGGGAGCGUAGAUGGGUUGGUAAGUCAGUUGUGAAAGUUUGCGGCUCAACCGUAAAAUUGCAAUUGCUACUGGCAGCCUUGAGUACAGGUGAGGUAGGCGGAAUUCGUGGUGUAGCGGUGAAAUGCUUAGAUAUCACGAAGAACUCCGAUUGCGAAGGCAGCUUACUAGACUGCCACUGACAUUGAUGCUCGAAAGUGUGGGUAUCAAACAGGAUUAGAUACCCCUGUAGUC